AGACGACACGAGCGAGACUCAGCGCCACCCCGCGACCAGAAGAGGGAACUGCACCAGCAGACCAGUGGAUUUGGCCUUCUUGGACUUCAUGUCCUCCAGCGACUCGUAGGUGUUUCCUUGGACGGUGGCGGCCUCCCCGGGGAUCUGCUCAUAGGUGUUGUCAGACAGCCCGGCGGGCGCUGGCCUCUGGACCAAGAAAACAAAGAUCUGCUAAUGUCAACUAUGACCAUGGUUCCCAUCAGACCGACUGAUCGGAAUCAACUCAUAACAGUUAUGCAAAGCCUUGAAACCAGUCUGGGAAGUUCCCGUUGUUGAGGAUAAGCGGCGCCUGCGUCUCGGUGAACCACCUCAGCACCAGCUCCUUCAGGCCUCCUUCUGAGGCCUCC